ensembl:lncRNA
CUGAACCAGACUGAGAGAUUAAAGGCUCAGGAAACCUUUGCAGCUGCAUCACGGUGUUGGAUGCGACAAGCUGCACAAACCCACGUACAUUUAUCCGGCUGAAGUGAAGCAGCUGAUCCGCGCCGCCUUCCCUAAGGAAAUCUGUGACUAUCACGACCCGCAACAUCAAAACGUGGUCGCUGUCACCAUGGAUGACCUAAAGGGUGUGAGUUCGGCUGAUCAGAGCUGUUAGACAGACCAGGAGCAAAUCUAACAACUGUUAUCAUUUGUGUGAAAUGUUAAUGUUAACGUUACAUUUGUUUUUGAUCAAUGCAAUCUUGUUUCCCCUGUGCAUGUUGACUGGUUUUCAAUAAAGUUUCAAUAAAGUUGAUUAGAAUAUAUAUAUAUAUAUAUAUAUA